rnacentral:rRNA from 1 species
UACGUAGGGUGCAAGCGUUAAUCGGAAUUACUGGGCGUAAAGCGUGCGCAGGCGGUUUUGUAAGUCUGUCGUGAAAUCCCCGGGCUCAACCUGGGAAUGGCAUUUGGGACUGCAAGGCUGGAGUGCGGCAGAGGAGACUGGAAUUCCUGGUGUAGCAGUGAAAUGCGUAGAUAUCAGGAGGAAUACCGAUGGCGAAGGCAGGUCUCUGGGCCGAUACUGACGCUGAGGAGCGAAAGCGUGGGGAGCGAACAGG